rnacentral:lncRNA from 1 species
GAGAUUCUGCAGACACCAUCUCUGAGAGCCAUAGAGGAAGCUGCACCACGUGGAGACUUCAUGGUGCUGGAGGGGCGAUGCUAGCAGCAUCCUUUGGGCCACGUUUAAUAAGUUAUUCUUCCCAUACCUCUGCCCUUCACUCUUCUGUCUCUCUCUGUUCUUUUAUUCCCAUUCUUUUUUUUUUCUUUCUUUCUUUUUUUAUAUAUAUAUUCUAGGAAAGAUUGAAAAUUCUUCAAGAUUAUUUAGAAUCUAGACUUUAAAACUUUAAUAGAAAAAUCAUGUUGGUGGUAGGAAAGGUGGUCGGUCUUUCCCUUCAGUAACUAGAAUAAGAGUGACAGAUAUUUUUCUGUCUUUUUUGGUAGAAGAUUGGGACAGUAGUGUUAACUGCCUCCUUUCAUUGUCUUUUUGUGAAUCAUUCCCUCUUAGUCUAUAAAUGUUGAUGAGUUGAUAAGAAUCACAUGGUAUCAGGGAUCUACUGAAUUUGUCCAGAGGUUAGAUGAAAACCAGUUUUGCUUUCCCUUUGUUUUCUCUACUUCUUAAGCUUCUCAAAAAUGAACAUUAUUAAUAUUGAUCAGUGCUCACAUUUAUCAGAUAAAGGAAAUCUUUCUUAGAAAAUUUAAGUUAUGUUGAACAAGCAGCUCAGAUUCUUAAACUUUGUGUCCUGAUUGAGGUUAGCCUUGGCAACAUACUAAGAGCCUAAGCAUAUCUCAAGGCAAAACAACCAACCAUGAAGCUUUCUAGUGGCAACAAGGAAAUCAGAGAAUACUUCAGGAAAAGUUUUCUGUUUAUUAUUUUGUUUUAAAAUUUUAAAUAUUCCUAAAAGGGGAGAGAGUAAGAUAGCAGUGUUUAUUUUUAAGUUCAUACUCACAUGUUACUGUAUGCUCUUCCCCGUGUCUCUUUGUCCUACUUCUGUUUCUGUACCAUAUUCCUGCCUUAACUGUUAAUGUAGAAUGUGUUUGUUUUUGACUAAUCUGUAUCUUGGUAUGUUUUUCCGAAUCCCAUAGGAAUGCGCACAUCAAAUUCCUUUCUAAAAUAUGAGGGUUAGUGGAGCUCAGUUUCAUGAUAAGUGUCUUGCUAAUUUUUGAGGUGUUUUAUGGACAAAGAAAACUACAGAUUUUAUAUUUUGCUGCAUAGUAAAUGGACUAUUAAUUUGGGUCUAUCUUCAACAAAGUACUCCUUUGAAAGUUUUAUAGGUAUGAAAACAUGUAGAUAUUUGUAAGGAUUUUAAUUUUUUUUGAUGGGGUGCUGUGUAAAUCUUGUAUUUAUAAAUAAUGAAGGUAUUGACAGAAAAUAUAUACAACUUUUAUAAGGGAUCAUAUAUUGACUGAAUACAUUUAAAGGAAAAUAUAUUUUGAAGCCUGUUCUGCCAUGAACAGAUAUAACAUAUCUUUUUACUAUGCUGUUGGUUUUUAGGUUAAGCUUCCUAAUGCAUAAUAAAUUUUCAAUGGAUACUUAUAUGGCUUAAAAACAAUUUCUGUCAUUGCUCUUUUGGGUUCUUUUGGGGGGGGUGGCUAUCCACACAACUGAGUUAGUAAUCUUUCAACUAAUUAAAAAAUGGUUUUAAAAAA